rnacentral:tRNA from 1 species
GGAAAUGUGGCUUAGUGGUAGAGUGCUUGCCUAGCAUGCAUGAAGCCCUGGGUUCGAUUCCUCAGUACCA